GGGCGUGUAACUCAGUGGUAGAGUGUUCGCUUUGCAUGCGAAAAGCCCGGCGUUCGAUCCGCCGCUCGUCCA
rnacentral:tRNA from 1 species